ACGUAGGAGGCGAGCGUUAUCCGGAUUUACUGGGCGUAAAGGGCGUGUAGGCGGCACGGUAAGUCAACCGUGAAAGCUCCCGGCUAAACUGGGAGAGGUCGGAUGAGACUGCCGAGCUAGAGGGUCGUAGAGGGGUGUGGAAUUCCGGGUGUAGUGGUGAAAUGCGUAGAGAUCCGGAGGAACACCAGAGGCGAAGGCGACACUCUAGGCCGCACCUGACGCUGAGACGCGACAGCACGGGGAGCGAACGG
rnacentral:rRNA from 1 species